UACGAAGGGGGCUAGCGUUGUUCGGAAUUACUGGGCGUAAAGCGUAUGUAGGCGGAUCGUUAAGUCGGGGGUGAAAUCCCGAGGCUCAACCUCGGAACUGCCUUCGAUACUGCGGUGCUUGAGGACUGGAGAGGAGACUGGAAUUCAUGGUGUAGCAGUGAAAUGCGUAGAGAUCAUGAGGAAGACCAGUGGCGAAGGCGGGUCUCUGGACAGUUCCUGACACUGAGGCACGAAGGCCAGGGGAGCAAACGGG
rnacentral:rRNA from 1 species